CUGAAUUGCCUAAGAGUUUUAUUAAACUUCUUACUAGAUUUGGCGUGUUAGACUUUUGUUUACAAUUAUCAAAGAGAAUUCAUUUUGGUAAUUUUGAAUUAAAAAGAAGUGCCAUUCGAAUAUCAAGUUUAUUACAAAAUAUCCUAUCUUCAUCAUCUUCUUCUUCAUCUUGUUCUUC
rnacentral:ribozyme from 1 species